rnacentral:RNase_P_RNA from 1 species
GAGAGAAGAAGGGCGGCUACCGGUACCUUCAUGGUACUGAGGAAAGUCCCUCCACUAUAUAAAACGCGAAUAUGCGAAAGCAUAUUACCCGAGAGGGUAGGUUAUGGCACAGAAACGAUACAUCUGCGCGGAAUAUGACUAUGAUAUGGCACUUAAGCUUUAAUUUUGCUAUAAAGGGAGAGCAAGAAUAAAUUUUUAAUUGGAAAGCCAUUGAGGAUCCGUUCAGAAGUGUUGAAACGGCAAAUCCUCGCGAGUGAAAGUUUAAGACGAUAAGAUAAAUGCCGCCAAAACAGAAGGGGGCUUACUCUCUUCACUC